rnacentral:tRNA from 1 species
GCCCCCGUAGCUCAGAGGAUAGAGCGCCGGUUUCCUAAACCGGGCGUCGGCGGUUCGAAUCCGUCCGGGGGUA